rnacentral:rRNA from 1 species
GAUGAACGCUAGCGGCAGGCUUAACACAUGCAAGUCGAGGGGUAUAGGUUUUCGGACCUAGAGACCGGCGCACGGGUGCGUAACGCGUAUGCAAUCUACCUUUCACAGAGGGAUAGCCCAGAGAAAUUUGGAUUAAUACCUCAUAGUAUAGCAGUUUCGCAUGAAACCACUAUUAAAGUAUCAACGGUGAAAGAUGAGCAUGCGUCCCAUUAGCUAGAUGGUAAGGUAACGGCUUAACAUGGCUACGAUGGGUAGGGGUCCUGAGAGGGAGAACACCCACACUGGUAAUGAGAACCGGACCAGACUCCUACGGGAGGCAGCAGUGAGGAAUAUUGGUCAAUGGACGCAAGUCUGAACCAGCCAUGCCGCGUGCAGGAUGACGGUCCUAUGGAUUGUAAACUGCUUUUGUACGAGAAGAGACAACAUUACGUGUAAUGUCUUGACGGUAUCGUAAGAAUAAGGAUCGGCUAACUCCGUGCCAGCAGCCGCCGUAACAC